CCCAGGUAACAGAGACAGGAUGAGACAGAAUGGCCUCAAGUUGCACCAUAGGCUGUUCAGGUUGGAUCUUAAGAAAAAUUUAUUCUCAGGAAGAGUGGUGAUGCUUUGGAACAGGCUGCCAGGGAGGUGGUGGAGGUGUCCCAGAGCAGGGCCCUCACCUCACGUGCCUCUGAAGAGGCCCAAGGCCGGCUGGGGGAGGUGGGGAAGCUAAGGAGUGUGAGAGCUGCCUGACAGGACUACUGCCAGAAACACACAGAAUCGCUGAAUUUCAUUUUAUUUUAUUGCAGAUAGCCUUCAGGAACCACUUUUGCUGAUGUGCUUGAGGGACGUGGUUAUGGCAAACGAGCCCUAGAGGAAAGGCGGCAGGGGGAGCAGUAGGAGCAAGGCCGGCACCGAGCCCCUUCCUGCCUCCGGGACGGAGAGUGCACCCCGACGCCAUUUUCCGCCCGAGAGGCCCAAUGGGCAGCGUUAGCGGGGCGCCUGGCGCUGUAAUACCGGCCCCACCUCCCCCGCUAUGCCAUUGGCGCUUUCGUGACAGAGGGCGGGGAUUUUCCGUUCCGGCCACCAAUCGGCCGCCUCCCCUGCGUGACGCUACUUCCGGUCGUCUGGCCCGCCGCACCCAAUGGGAGGGAGGCAGUGGGGCGGGACGCCUCAUCCUCACCGAGGCAACGGGCGGACGGACGGUUCCGGGUGUGCGCGAGGCUGACGGCAGCGGUGGGAUGAUUCGACUCCAGAAUUUAUUUUUGAAUGGAAGCAUGCUCUUUUCCAGUAGAAGAUGUUGAUCCUAACGUAUAAUGAUGGAGAAGGGGAUAAGCUCGGUAGAAGUGUUACCUUCCAAAUCAUCUCAGGUUACAGCUGUAAAAGUGGUGGUCAAAGAGCCCGAAACAAAGCAGACCCAAAGAGGGAAACGAGUGGGAUUUGUGCUUGUUCAUGCAGGUGCGGGUUAUCAUUCUGAAUCCAAAGCUAAAGAAUACAAGCAUGUGUGCAAAAGAGCCUGCCAGAAGGCGAUUGAAAAGCUACAGGCUGGUGCUCUUGCGACAGAUGCAGUGACUGCAGCACUUAUAGAACUAGAGGAUUCUCCUUUUACAAAUGCAGGAAUGGGUUCUAACUUAAACCUUCUGGGUGAGAUAGAAUGUGAUGCCAGUAUAAUGGAUGGAAAGUCAUUAAAUUUUGGAGCAGUUGGCGCACUGAGUGGAAUCAAGAAUCCAGUUUCAGUUGCAAAUAGAUUGUUGUGUGAAGGGCAGAAAGGAAAACUCUCUGCUGGCAGAAUUCCGCCUUGCUUUUUAGUUGGUGAAGGAGCUUUCAGAUGGGCAGUUGAUCACGGGAUACCAGCAUGUCCUCCAGGUAUCAUGGCUACAAGGUUUAGUUUAGCAGCUUUUAAGAGGAACAAAAGGAAGCUGGAGUUGGCUGAAAAGGUAGAAACUGAUCUCAUUCAACUAAAGAAGAGAAGACAAUCAAAUGAAAAGGGCUCCAGAGUCAUGUGCAGAAUGUGUGGGAGACGCUCAAAGGCCAGUGGUGGUAAUACAGGAGGUGGUCAAAUAAAGCUCUACUCAUUGGAGAAUGACUCAGGAACACUGGAUACAGUCGGUGCAGUAGUUGUUGACCAAGAAGGAAAUGUUGCUGCCGCUGUCUCCAGUGGAGGUUUAGCACUGAAGCAUCCUGGAAGAGUUGGUCAGGCAGCUCUUUAUGGUUGUGGCUGCUGGGCUGAAAAUACAGGAGCUCAUACACCUUACUCCACUGCUGUUGUGGAGAGCACCUUGUACGGACCAUACUGGCCAGAGAAUGUUCAUGUGCUUUGCAAACAGAAGAUGCCCACCAAGCUCUCCUAGAGACUAUGCAAAACAAGUUUAUCGUGGAAUUUCUGUGGAGCCAUACAACAGAGAGCAUGUGUGUAGGAUAUAUGUCUGCGCAGGAUGGCAAGGCUAAGAAUUGAAACUGAGUUUAGCAGCAGAAACUGGAAAAAUCAUAAACAUCAAACAGCAGAGAUUAACCGAGGAGCCACCUCUUCUUUGGAAUACAGCACUGAAUGGAGAAAAAGGCAGACUCACAUUUCAAGACUUCCUCCUGGAGCGGUGGCAGGACAGUCCGUCGCAAUAGAAGGAGGAGUUUGCCGACUAGAGAGCCCAGAAAGCUGAACAGCUGAUUCCUCACUUCAUUGCAAAGAAUGUGAAUGACCUUUUCUACUAUAAGUUUUUUUUUGUGUCUUAACAAAUGUUGGAAAUUCUACUCUUGCUUUAUACCCUGUAUUGCCACCAUGCGCUCCAUAACUUGAGACAAGUGCUGCUGUAGUUUGUUCUCACUCUGUGAAUGGGAGUGUGUGCGUGUUCAUUUUUUCCCUAACAAAAUAGGACCUCUUCCCAGUUGUACAAAGAUUAUAUAUGAUUAAUGAUUACAUUUUCAUUGUUUUAUGUUUGAAAAAUAUCUGAAAGUUAAAACGAAGUAAUAAUUUAAAGAUGUGGUCACAAUUGUCAUUCAUGUUCUAAAUUUAAAAGUAACAGGCCUUUGAAGUGGAUAUAUAAAUAUGCAAAAAUGAUUAUAGUUUUGAAGUUUCUCAGUGGUUUAAGGAAAUCCAGUGGUGGUUUAAACAUGGGUUGUUUUCUUCCUCCCCAAUAAGGAGGAUUUUUUUUUGUCAAAGAAUGGUUUCAGUGAAACAAACUAGAGCAAAAUUAAGGCUAGAAUUGUUCUAAAUAAUCUUAUAAGUCGUAUCUCUGUUUCCAAACUAAGAUGUUAAUAGCUUCAAGCUGUAUCUAUUACAAAAUCCUAUAUGAAGAUAAUGUAUCGUAAUGCAGUCUUUAUGUAUAAUGGAAUAUUACAGUGUAAAUAAGAAAACAAAGUUUAUGGAAAGAUUCGAUAUUAUUCUUUGUUUCUGUUUUAAAUCUAUUUUUAAGAGAGGUACAGAAAUGAGCAUAUUACUGGAUGCGAAGUGCAAUGUGUAUUGAAUGGAUGUUGGGAGGUCUGAUACUAGCUUUCUUACCGAUAAAGCAACUUCCUAAAGUCCAGCCACAGCAUGGGUAUUUAUAUAACUGUGUGUAAUAUGUAUGUACUGUGCAUAAAUUUACUGUAAUUUUUUUUACACCUUCAACAAAACUGCAGUAUAAAACAGUGUAACCCUUGUCUGCCUUGUGAAGCAUUGGCAGCUGAACUGUCUUUUGUCACUGGUUCUGAUACGUUAGCCAGAUCGCCUUGUGUCCUAAAAGUGACUUCUCACAUACAAUCUCCCAUUCAGUACUUUUUUCUUCACAGCACUGGCAGCAAUAGAAGACUUUUGUAAUUAAUUCAUUAUCAUGAUAAGUAUGCCAAAGAGAAACUAAAUUAGAUCAUCUUUUUCCCUGGUGGAUAUUUGACAAUUCUGUUUUCAGAAAUAGUGGAUGAAUAGAUAUUCAGACUGUAUGCGCUUAAUUGGGCAUUGUACUAUCCUCUUUUGUCAUGUUGUGCCUGCCUAUAACAGACCUACUUGACUGAUUAAAUGGUUACAUUGAUUGUAGUACCAAUGUCUCAUGGAUAAAAAUCUUAAUACAUUUUUUAGUAGCCUGAAUUCAUUUUCACUCUUACGUUAAAUAAUACAUUGAGAUAUGUUCUUAUUUGUGUCUGUUUUUUUUCAUCGUGACAUCGGUGUAGUCCUAUAGUUUAAGAUAUUUCUAUGAAUUCUUGUAAAUAAUAUGAAACAAGCUUUUCAGUUGCAAAAACAAACAGUGAAAUUCAUCUAUCUAAAAAGUAGUUUGUGCUGAGGUGUCCGUCUGCAUCCUCAGAGGUACAGCCAGAUUCUGGUCCGAUAGAGUGAAGAAGUGUAGUGGUUUAUACUGGUUGAGGUUCAGCAGUGCAGAGCACAACACUUCAGAAAUGUUCUAACAAAGUCUAGUUGUCAGAGCUACUGAAAUUUCUCUAACAUACAACAUUACGUGAUUGUGCGGGUGAUCUGCACUGUAUAAUGUGUGAAGAAUAGUUAUAAUUCUUGUGAGUUUGUAUGUACCCAUAUUUGAAAAUGACAUUUUUUUUGCAGAAGUUGAAAUGAUGGAGUUAAGCUUUCAUUCAAGUGCUUUUCAGUAUUGCCUUUGUAGAAACAUUGGCGUAAAUUCACUUUCAUGUAAUAAGGAAUGCAGAAGGGUUUGUACAAUGUGUAAAUUGAUAAAUUGUUUCUUCCACUUACUUGCUUAAUGUCUCUUUAUGGAGACCUGGAUACCAGCUUAUGACUUUUUCCCAUAUGCUAUCUCAGAAUUUUAUUUUUGUGUGUAUUCAUACAUAUGCAUUUAUAUAUAAAAUCGUAACUCAAAAAUCA